rnacentral:piRNA from 1 species
UGGUGACCGUUACCAACUCUUGA